rnacentral:rRNA from 1 species
UUAAUUCAAAUUUUCAUUGGGGGGUGGAAGAUUAUCACCUAGAUAGGCGGGAGGUGCAAGAGCUGCGAAGUUUUAAGCUGACCCGUACUAAUCCCCAUCAGAAA